CGCCUGGGGAGUACGGCCGCAAGGUUAAAACUCAAAUGAAUUGACGGGGGCCCGCACAAGCGGUGGAGCAUGUGGUUUAAUUCGACGCAACGCGAAGAACCUUACCUGGCCUUGACAUGCAGAGAACUUUCCAGAGAUGGAUUGGUGCCUUCGGGAACUCUGACACAGGUGCUGCAUGGCCGUCGUCAGCUCGUGUCGUGAGAUGUUGGGUUAAGUCCCGUAACGAGCGCAACCCCUAUCCCUAGUUGCUAGCAGUUCGGCUGAGAACUCUAGGGAGACUGCCGGUGACAAACCGGAGGAAGGUGGGGAUGACGUCAGGUCAUCAUGGCCCUUACGGCCAGGGCUACGCACGUGCUACAAUGGCGCGUACAGAGGGCUGCCAACUCGCGAGAGUGAGCCAAUCCCUUAAAACGCGUCGUAGUCCGGAUCGGAGUCUGCAACUCGACUCCGUGAAGUCGGAAUCGCUAGUAAUCGCGAAUCAGAAUGUCGCGGUGAAUACGUUCCCGGGCCUUGUACACACCGCCCGUCACACCAUGGGAGUGGAUUGCACCAGAAGUAGUUAGUCUAACCUUCGGGAGGACGAUUACCACGGUGUGGUUCAUGACUGGGGUGAAGUCGUAACAAGGUAACCGUA
rnacentral:rRNA from 1 species